UUCAUGAGCUUGUAAUAAUUUUACCAAGUUUCUGUAAUUUCACAGACAGUGUGGAGUGGGAAUUUCUCUUUAUCUCUACCUGUGUUAGUGGAAAACGGUUCUCAUUCUUAUACUUCUUUCUUUUCCUUUGAAUUUGAGGUAUUUGUUUGUCACAUGUCUGGACUUGCAGCUGCUCAAACAGGACAAACAAAGGUGGGCGUGAAAAUGUUGACGCAGGUCACAGAUGUCUGAUAUAAAACAGCUGACAGAAAAUACAGGUUAGUUUAGUCUGCAGCUGUUUGACACAGACAUACCUUUACUUUGGGGUUUUAAACUUUUACAUUUUUUAUGAUUUGAUUUUUUUUAUUUCUCAAAUAUUUAUAUCUGAGCAACUUUUCACUUGUUUGUAACAAAACUUCAGUAGCUUCCUUUUCACCUACUGAAAAACUGAUGGGACACACUGACCUCACAGUUUUUUUUAUCUGUCAGUAGAUAAUUUUAUUUUUUCCACUCUGAUGAUCAGAAGAGUGUUUGAGUGUUUCAGAGAUCCUUCAGAACAACAAUGUACUGAGAGACUCCUGCACUGAUGUUUCAUAGUAAAGUCCAAACAGCCUCACUGGUUCUCCAUAAAGAACAAAGAUUUGCUCUCUGUGGCUCCAACACAACUUAAAGACAAUCAAAGGUGGACAAAGUUCUCUGUGGUUUGAUGGAGGCUACAGCUAAAUGCUGCCUCCUCCAUAGUACAAUAUACAUUUAUACAGUGACGUCAUGUUGAAGUCCUUUGGCUGAUGAUGGUCUUUAGUAUGUAGCUGAUGGUUGAUGAUGAGAUGUUUGUGUUGUUCUGUGGAGAUCAUUCAAGAACUGAACCUGUUAAACACUCAGACCUGCUUUAGAUUUCACCGCUUUAGUUAUGACGCACUUAUUUAUGGUCACCCUACAGCAGCGUAAACACACGUGACUCUGACGUUACUUCCUUCAGAGACGAUGAAUUGGACGUAUUGAGUUUGAACGAGUGUCUAAAAAGUCAGAUCUGUUCUCACAGUCAGAGACUUUCAGGAUCAUUUAAACCUUAAAUUUAAUCUCAUGUAGUCAGGAUUUAAACUCAGGUUCAGUUAUUU